UACGGAGGGGGCUAGCGUUGUUCGGAAUUACUGGGCGUAAAGCGCACGUAGGCGGCUUUGUAAGUUAGAGGUGAAAGCCCGGGGCUCAACUCCGGAAUUGCCUUUAAGACUGCAUCGCUAGAAUUGUGGAGAGGUAAGUGGAAUUCCGAGUGUAGAGGUGAAAUUCGUAGAUAUUCGGAAGAAACACCAGUGGCGAAGGCGACUUACUGGACAC
rnacentral:rRNA from 1 species